GCGCAGCAGUCGCGAAUGUAAGUCAGUGGUGAAACUGCCGCUCAACGGUAGUCGUGCCAUUGAUACUGCUUUCUUGAGUUUGGAUGAGGUAGGCGGAAUGUGCAGUGUAGCGGUGAAAUGCAUAGAUAUUGCACAGAACACCAAUUGCGAAGGCAGCUUACUAAUCCACGACUGACGCUGAGGCACGAAAGCGUGGGGAGCGAACAGGAUUAGAUACCCCCGUAGU
rnacentral:rRNA from 1 species